rnacentral:rRNA from 1 species
CCAAGUGCACAGGCAUAGCGCCUGUGCUUUUCGGUACCCUAAGGCGGUACCAGAAUAAGGGCUGGGCAAGACCGGUGCCAGCCGCCGCGGUAAUACCGGCAGCCCAAGUGAUGGCCGAUCUUAUUGGGCCUAAAGCGUCCGUAGCUGGCCGCGCAAGUCCAUCGGGAAAUCCACCUGCUCAACAGGUGGGCGCCCGGUAAAAACUGCGUGGCUUGGGACCGGAAGGCGCGACGGGUACGUCCGGGGUAGGAGUGAAAUCCCGUAAUCCUGGACGGACCGCCGAUGGCGAAAGCACGUCGCGAGAACGGAUCCGACAGUGAGGGACGAAAGCCAGGGUCUCGAACCGGAUUAAAUACCCGGGUAGUCCUGGCCGUAAACAAUGUCUGCUAGGUGUGGCUCCCACUACGAGUGGGUGCUGUGCCGUAGGGAAGCCGCUAAGCAGACCGCCUGGGAAGUACGUCCGCAAGGAUGAAACUUAAAGGAAUUG